GCACUGAGGGUUCCCUGCGUGCUGAGUCAGAGCUGCGCAGCCAACUGUAAUCUGCCUUGGUUUCCUGGUCAGUAAAAUGGAAUAAUCAGAUACUUUCCACCAGGCCCACCCUCAUGACAAACAUGUAUCGAGUACCCACUGCAGCCCGGGCAGGAGACUAAGGGCUUCGAGAAGCAGAGAAGAAGAAAACAUAGCCCUUGCCCUGUAGGACUUAAUAGCUAAUUCUUUUUUUUUUUUUUUUUUAAUUUUUAUUGGGGUAUAGUUGAUUUACAAUGUUGUGAUUCAGGUGUGCAGCAAAGUGAAUCAUUUAUACAUACACACAUAUUCGCUAGUUCUUACAUAGUAAUGACUGUUUACUGGACACUGUUACCCCUCAUCCCUCAAACAACUCUAUGAGAUCAGUACCAUUAUUAUCACCUGUGUUUGACAGAUGAAGAAGCUGAGGUACAACCAAAGUCGCACAAACUAGUAAGAGGCAGAAUUUUGAAUCUGGGCAGCCGGGCUGUCAAAUUCAUACUCUUAACCACACACCCUAUCACCUGUCUAGUUUAGUGGGGGAUUAUAAAUACAGUAGAUGCACAAAGUACCACAGAAGUACAACAAAAGAGGCCCGCUCAGCUCAGGAUUUGAGAAGGGGUGAGGAGAGAAGCAUCUCCUGAAUGAGAUGACACGGGGGCAGCAUUGGAACACAUCAAAUAGGUGUCAGCUGGGAACAGAAGGGAGGGACGGAACCUGUGGUCAGAGAAGACAGCAUGGUAUGUGGGGAAACCGUAAACAGCGUAACAUCACUGGAGUAUAAAAUGCAAGGGGGAAGGAGGGAGAUAGUUAGCUCCACAAAUGCUGAUUGGGCCCCUUCCAUAUGCAGGCACUGUGCUUGUUGUUGGGGGUAUAGCAGGGACAGAGCUUCUAAGGAACUUGAGCUUUCAAACAUUUUGCUUCCUUAUUCACUAAAAUAACUUUUUGAAACUACCCCCAUGCAAAACAUGCAACAAACUAGGAAUAGAAGGAAAUUUCCUCAACCUGAUAAAGGCUGAGGAAAAACCCUCAGCUGUCAUCAUAUUUAAUGGUGAAAGACUGAAAGCUUUCUCCCUAAGAUCAGGAACAAGAAAAGGAUGUCCACUCUCUCACCACUUCUGUUCAGUCUUGUAUUGGAUUUUCUAGCUAGGGUCACUAGGCAAGAAAAUUACAUAAAAGGCAUACAGAUUGCAAAGGAAAUUGACACUUUAGAACUGUUAACAUCACAGUUUUGAAUGCCAUCCAAUGGAAUUUAAAUACAAUAGCAAUUUGAUACCCACCAUCAUUCAUUUUUAUAUGUAAAAAAUAAAAAUCACUUUAAGAAAUUUUACAUUA